GUUUACGGCCAUACCACCCUGAAUGCGCCCUAUCUGGUCUGAUCUCAGAAAUUAUGCAAGGUUGGGCCUGGUUAGUACUUGGAUGGGAGACCACCUGGGAAUACCAGGUGCUGUAGCUU
ensembl:rRNA 5S_rRNA 5S ribosomal RNA